rnacentral:lncRNA from 1 species
UCUCAUUUGAGACCAGAUCUCUGUUCUCAGAGUGUAUAUUAUAACUUAGUAACCCCCCGUGGCAUUAAGGGGGGCUUAGAUGUGUUUACAUGUGUGUUUGUAAAUUUCCUCAUCUUAGCCCUGACAAAACACAGGGCCUGGAAGUAAGUUUUCCAGACGUGGUUGCUGAGUAGCAUUAAUGGAAUGAAGCUGUGGUUGGAAGGAACAAGUUACAAAGGUCAGUCAUGAGGCGGGCCUCUCCUGGUGAGCUCCAGCACAAUUGCUUCUGCUUUACUCCCUUUAACAUUACACAAAACAUUGCAAUUUACUUUAAUCCAUGGAAUUAUCUACAAACAUCUAUCUAUUAAAUAUAUUUUUUCAUUAAAGUGUACUUGACAAAUAAAAAUUGUAUAUCUUUACAGUGGACAACAUGAUGCUUUGAUAUGUGUAUCCACUGUGAAAUGGUUAAAGCUAAUUAACAAGCACAUUACCUCACAUUCCUAUAAUUUUCUAUUGUGAGAACAUUUAAGAUCUGCUUUUAUUAGCAACUUUCAAAUGUACAAUACACUAUUAUUAACUGCAGUUACCAUACACCAUAAAUCUCCCAUGCUUAUUUAUCCUGUCUAAUUGAAACUUUGUACCCUUUAACCAACAUUUUCCCAUCUACCCAGCCCUCACCCUCAGCUCCUGGUAGCCACCAUUCUACUCUUUCUGCUUCUAUGAGUUUGACUUGUUUUAGAUUCCACAUAUAAGUGACAUCAUGCAGUACAUUUCUUUUUGUGCUUGGUUUAUUUCACUUAGCAGAAUGUUCUCCACUUUUGUCUGUUAUUCCAAAAAUAGGACUUCCUUUUUUUAUGGUUAAAUGGUAAUCUACUGUAUAUGCAGAUGUUCCUUGACUUAUGAUGGUGUUAUGUCCCAGUUAACCUGUCAUGAGUUGAAAAUAUAUGUCAAAAACACAUUGAAUACACCUAACCUAUGGAACAUCAUAUCUAGCACAACUUAUCUUAAAUAUGCUCAAAGCACUCACAUUAGCUACAGUUAGACAAAAAUCUUCUAACAUAAAGCCUAUUUUAUAACAAAGUAUUGAAUAUCUCAUGUAAUUUAUUGAAUAAUGUACUGAAGGUUACAAUUGUGUGAUUGUAUACUCGAAAUAUGGUUUCUACUGAAUGUGUUAUCACUUUUGCACCAUCAUAAAGUCAAAAAAUCAUAAACCGAACUAUUCUAAGUUGAGGACCAUCUGUAUAUACACCACAUUUGUAUCCAUUUAUACAUGAAGGAACCCUUACAUUGAUUCCAUAUCUUGGCUAUUUUGAAUAAUGCUGCAAUGAACAGGGGAGUGCAGAUAACUCUGUGAAAUACUAAUUUCAAUUACUUUGGUAUAUACCCAGAAGUGCCAUUGCUGGAUCAUAGGUUAGUUCUACUUUUAAUUUUUUGGGAAGCCUCUUACUGUUCUCUGUCAUGGCCGUGGUAACUUACAUUCUCACCAACAGUGUGUAAGGGUUCCCUUUUCUCCACAUCUUUGCAAACACUUAUCUUUCAACUUUUCGAUAAUAGCCAUUGUAACAGACACGAGGCAAUAUCUCAUUGUGGUUUUACUUUGCAAUCCUCUGAUGAUUAGUGAUGUUAAUCAUUUUUUAAUAUACCUGCCGGUCAUUUGUAUGUCUUUGUUUUGGAAAUGUCUAUUCAGAUUCUUUGCCCAUGUUUUAAUUGGGUUAUGUGUUUCCUUGCUAUUGUAUUGUACGUUAUAUUUUGGAUAACUCCUUAUAAGAUGUAUGGCUUGGACAUCUUUUCUCCCAUUUCAUAGGUUGUCUCUUCACACUAUUGAUUGUUACCUUUGCUGGGCUGAAGGUUUUUAAUUUGAUGUAAUAUCUAUUGCCUGUUUUUGCUUUUAUUGCCAGUGCUUUUAAGUUCAUAUCCUAAAAAUAUUCGCUGAGACUAAUGUCAAGGAGCUUUUCAAUCCUGUGUGUGCUUCCAGUAGAUUUAUAAUUUCAGGUCUUAUGUUUAAAUCUUCAAUCCAUUCUGAGUUGAUUUUUUGUAUGGUAUGAACUAAGGAUCCAAUCUCAUUCUUCUAUAUGUGAAUAUUCAGUUUUCUCAACACUAUUAAGAAGAGUCUUCUUUCCCCAUUUUGUGUUCAUGGCAACUUUGUUGAAACUUAACUGACCAUAAUAUCAUGGAUUUACUUUGGGGCUCUCUAUUCAGCUUCCUUGCCCUAUGUGUAUAUUUUUAUGCCAAUACCAUUUUCUUUUGGUUGCUGUAGAUUUAAAGUCAAAUAGUGUGAGACCUCUAACUUUUUGCUCAACAUUGCCUUGGAUAUUUGGGAUCUUGAUUAGUUCUAUGCAAAUUUUAGAAAUUAUUUCCUAUUUCUGUAAAAAAUGUUAUUGUAAUUUUCAUAUGUAUUGUGUUGAAUUUUUUUUGGAUAGUACUAUGGCUUAAGUGUGUCCCCCAAAUUUCAUAUGUCGAAAACUUAACCCCAAAUCCAAUAAUGUUGGGAGAUGGGACCUAAUAAGAGGUGAUUUGGUCAUGGUCAUGAGGGCUCUGCCCAAAUAAAUGAAUUAAUUUCAUUAUUGGAAGAAAUAGUUUUGUUAUAAAAAUGAAUUUGGCUUAUUUUGCACAUGUGCAUGUGUUCUCCUACCCUUCCAACAUGAGAUGACACAGCAAGAAGGCCCUCACCAGAUGUGAGCGCCUUGACUUUGUACUUUCCAGUCUUCAGGACUGUAAGAAAUAAAAUUGACAUACUUAUUUUAAUUUAUAAUUACAUUUUUAUAAAGUUAUUCAUUUUUGGUAAUAAAUAAUUUGUUAUAAAUAAAAUUUAUAAAUAUAUAAAAUACAUAAAUAAAUAUAUAUAAAUUGUUAUAAUUACACAGUUUCAAGUAUUUUGUUAUAGCAGCACAGGACAGGACUAAAACAGGUGGUACAGACAUUUUAACAACACUACAUUUUUCCCUAUGAACACAGGUUAUCUGUCAAUAUAUUUGUGUCUUAAUUUUGUUCACUAAUGUUUUACAGUUUUCAAUGUACAGAUCUUUCUCUUCUUUGGUUAAAUUAAUUGCUAAGUUUGUUUUGUUUUUUGUUUGUUUGUUUUGUUUUUUUUUUUGAGACAAAGUCUUGCCCUAUUGCCAGGCUGGAGUGCUGUGGCGCAAUCUUGGCUCACUGCAACCUCCGUCUCCUGGGUUCAAGUGAUUCUCCUGCCUCAGCCUCCAGAGCAGCUGGGACUACAGGUGUGCACCACCACGCCCAGCUCACUUUU